UGUCCCUUGAGGCUGUCUUGGAACCUUCCACAUGUGCAGUCCAAAAUGGUCCUGUGGAGCUGAGCUCAAUGAAAAUACAUGAACAACACUCACUGGAAAAUACCCUGGACAGUGUUUUUUAGCAUGUGUAACUUUCCUUCAAAGUGGGAGUCUUGUCAAGAAGCAGCUUUACCAUAUGAUCAGUGCUCUGCUGAAGAGGAAAAGGAAGAAAACAAGCAAUGCCAUAGGAGAGCAAAGGUUCACACAAGUACUGUUAGAAUAUUCUCCAGUUGCAAAUAUUUUAUUUAUAUGUAAUCAGGAAAAAGGAAAAAAAGAAAUAUUGCAGCUCAGAUGUCAAGUACCCAAAUCAUUUAAUUUCUGGGGGUGGGUUAAUUUCAUUUGGAAAAGGUGCAUUUGAAAAAAUUGAGGAUGUAAUAAAAUAAUUCUAAUGCUGAAAACAAAGAUAAUGAUGAAACUCAUACCUGUAUGGGAAAGAAAAACCUACAAAUUAUGAUAACUAGACCAGGUAGAUCGGGAUCUAUCAGUAGACCUUUAGCUGGUGAACAGUAGAGCUCAAGAAACUGUCAACAAUAAGCUUGUCUAUAUCAUCCUACUGCCUCAGGUGAAAACAGCAGCUAUUUCAAAUAAAUUUUCCCAGAAGUGCCGUCUGUCUGUGGAGUGUUUGUUAUAUCA